CGAGUGGCGGAUGGGUGAGUAACGCGUAGGAACCUGUCGGCUGGGUGGGGGAUAACGCUGGGAAACCGGCGCUAAUACCGCAUGUGGUCCCGCAAGGGAAGAAAGUGGCAACACGCCCGGUGAGGGGCCUGCGUCCGAUUAGCUAGUUGGUGGGGUAAGAGCCUCCAAGGCGACGAUCGGUAGCUGGUCUGAGAGGAUGGUCAGCCACACUGGGACUGAGACACGGCCCAG
rnacentral:rRNA from 1 species